rnacentral:rRNA from 1 species
CUUACCUUAAUAGUAAGAGUGACGGGCGAUGUGUACAUAUUUUAGAGCUAAAAUCAAAAUUAUAAUCUUUUAAUUUUUACUAUCAAAUCCACCUUCAUUAGUGUAUAUAAAAACUAAAUCCGUUUAAAUAAAUUUAUUGUAACCCAUCUCUUCUUAAAUAUAAGCUACACCUUGAUCUGAUAUAAAUUAUAAAUUAAAUUAUUGAAAAUUAUUAUUCUAAUAAAAUAUUCUGAUAACGACGGUAUAUAAACUGAAAAACAAAUUUAAGUAAGGUACAUCGUGGAUUAUCAAUUACAGGACAGGUUCCUCUGAAUAGACUAAAAUACCGCCAAAUUUUUUAAGUUUCAAGAACAUAACUAAUACUACCUAAGUGCUUAUUUUUACAUUUUAAAUAAUA